AUCCACAGAACAGAUAAAGCACAGGCAGCAAUACUACACUCCCCCUCACACUGCCCUGCCAAUAUACCUCAAUCCUGACCUAGAAGGGUCAUUAUCUAUGGU
rnacentral:sRNA from 1 species